rnacentral:misc_RNA from 1 species
AAGGAUCAUUACCGAGUGCGGGCCCCCUCGCGGGGCCCAACCUCCCACCCGUGUCUACCGUACCAUGUUGCUUCGGCGGGCCCGCCGCAAGGCCGCCGGGGGGGCACCCGCCCCCCGGGCCCGCGCCCGCCGGAGACCUCAACACGAACACUGUCUGAAUUAGUGGCGUCUGAGUCUACGUACAAAUAAGUUAAAACUUUCAACAAUGGAUCUCUUGGUUCCGGCAUCGAUGAAGAACGCAGCGAAAUGCGAUAAGUAAUGUGAAUUGCAGAAUUCAGUGAAUCAUCGAGUCUUUGAACGCACAUUGCGCCCCCUGGUAUUCCGGGGGGCAUGCCUGUCCGAGCGUCAUUGCUGCCCUCCAGCCCGGCUGGUGUGUUGGGCCGCCGUCCCCCCCGGGGGACGGGCCCGAAAGGCAGUGGCGGCGCCGCGUCCGGUCCCCGAGCGUAUGGGGCUCUGUCACCCGCUCCGUGGGCACCGGCCGGCUGCCGGCCUCGACCAUCUUCCUUUUUUUUCCAAGGUUGACCUCGGAUCAGGUAGGGAUACCCGCUGAACUUAAGCAUA